GAUGAAGAACGUAGCGAAAUGCGAUAAGUAAUGUGAAUUGCAGAAUUCAGUGAAUCAUCGAAUCUUUGAACGCACAUUGCGCCCGCUAGUAUUCUGGCGGGCAUGCCUGUCCGAGCGUCAUCUCAACCCUCAAGCCCCCGGGCUUGGUGUUGGGGAUCGGCGAGCCUCCGCGCCCGCCGUCCCCUAAAUCUAGUGGCGGUCUCGCUGUAGCUUCCUCUGCGUAGUAGCACACCUCGCACUGGGAAACAGCGCGGCCACGCCGUUAAACCCCCAACUUCUGAACGUUUGACCUCGGAUCAGGUAGGAAUACCCGCUGAACUUAAGCAUAUCAAUAAGCGGAGGA
rnacentral:misc_RNA from 1 species